GGGGGGCAGAAGAGAGAGAGACCAGAAAGCAACCAUAGGAAGAAGAGAGCGACACGGCGGCCAGGACGUAUUGGUGUGGUGUCAGGACUGACACUGGGAUGAGUUGUAAUUUAGGGCGAGUGCUGUUUGAUUAAAGGACAGUUACGGUGAUACCGCUGCUUAGUAUGAGUGUUGGGAUUACUUGGCAUGACAGCCCUGUAGUGACAACCUAGAUGUACUUAAUCAUACGUGCGGUGAACAUAACAUUAAAGGUAAAGUAACUGCCGCUAUCAGAGGCUGCCCUCUCUGAAUUUCAUUGCUCGGUUCAGAUAUUGUUUUUUCAUUAAAUACAUUACUUGAGUGUGUGUUUAUCAAGCACAAGUUCAAGUUUUUUUUACUCAGAAAUGAAUCCAAGCAUCCUGGAACUCAAAUUCUUUUUCGACAAUUUUUUUUUUUCUUUUUGGAAAAAAGCCACCGUACACUUUUUGGGAAAUUGGCAGCUUAUCUUUUCAUAGCUAGAGGUCAACAUAACACUCAGUAUUAAUAAAACAAAUACGACUAGGAUGGAUAUACAUGAUAAUAUAUACAGAUGUACUGCGCAUGAGCUUGAAUCGUGUGAGAGUCCGCUAAAGGAGAGCAAAGGGGAGACACUCACAGACACUCACAUGUUUGUGUGUUUACUCGUCUGUGUGUGUGUGUGUGUGUGUGUGAUAGCCAAGUCAGUCUCCCUCAGAUGUUCCCUUUGACCUUUGACCCAAGAGUUGGGGUCAAGCCCUGACAAAUGAGAUGGCAGAGUUCUGGCCAGAACUGCAAACAUUCCACAACAAUCUUCUGUCCUCCUCCCCUCUCCUCAUAUCCGUCAUUCCUCACCCCUUCACUCCUCUCACUAUGGCUCUUCCAUGACUUAGAGAGAGCCAGAGAAGGUUCACAUUGCACACAAACAUGUUUUAUUGUAUUUGCUGUGGGAAUCUUAAAGCAUACACCCUUCAAAUUAAGAAUUACAGCAUUGGUUAAAUUUAAUAUCCCCGACAUCUGCCUUGUUUACAGAAGGAGAGAAAAACAAAAGAGUAUGAUCUUAAAGGAGAAGCCGUGUUAAAGAUUUGGAUAUUACAACCCUGCACUCUGAAAGCCCACUGUGUGUGUUUGGAAAGCUUGUCAGUGAUGUCAAGGAUGAGAAAUGUUGCAGUGAGGUUUUUUACACACACUGCUGGCUCUAGCAUUUCCGGCAACAUUUCUCACUCUGCCUCCCUCACACCAUCCGCUCUGCUGCAAUAUCCCCACAUGUUUCCAUCCUUUCACUUCUUCCCCUACCCUCCCCUCCUCCCUCCCUGCUCGCCUUCUCUCUGCUCUCUGACCACUCUUGCUCUCUUUACCCUUCCUCUCUGCUGCCCCACCCUGCCCUAUAUCAACCUCUCCCUCCCUUUUCUCUUCUUCCAGCACACUCACUUCCCCCUCCCUUUUUCCUCCACCGUCUAUUUUCUCUGAUUUUCUAACAUGCCAUUCCACAGAAUGCUACCACCUGUGUCUUUAGGGGGAAAAGGGGGCUAUUGGUAUUCCUCUUCAGGCAGCUGGUUAGGCUUCCUAAGCAUCACCAUCCUCGAUCAGAGCUCUAGCUACAAGUCACUGCUGUAAAAACACACACAGUCACUAUCAAUGAACGUCAGCAGAGCAACCACAGUGCCACAAAGGAGCCUGGAGACCAACAAAGCCGGCUGAUACAGCAACACCGAGUGGAUCAUGCUCUUGAACUUGCUUUCAUAAUGAUGUAAUAUUACUAAAAGGCAAUGCAACACAGCAAAGAUCUUAAU